AAGUCGUAACAAGGUUUCCGUAGGUGAACCUGCGGAAGGAUCAUUAUCAAUCUUUUUCUCUUUUAGAGAAUUCAUCUAUUGUGCACCAUUCUUUGUUUGUUACGUUUAAUUACGUUUCAUCCAAAAAAUUACACUUUUUGUCUGAUAUUUUAUAUUAAAUCAUAAUUAAAAUACAACUUUUAACAACGGAUCUCUUGGCUCUCC
rnacentral:misc_RNA from 1 species